rnacentral:rRNA from 1 species
UACGUAGGGGGCGAGCGUUGUCCGGAUUUAUUGGGCGUAAAGAGCGUGUAGGCGGCCAGGUAGGUCUGCUGUGAAAACUCGAGGCUCAACCUCGAGACGUCGGCGGAAACCAUCUGGCUAGAGUCCGGAAGAGGAGAGUGGAAUUCCUGGUGUAGCAGUGAAAUGCGCAGAUAUCAGGAAGAACACCCGUGGCGAAGGCGGCUCUCUGGGACGGUACUGACGCUGAGACGCGAAAGCGUGGGGAGCGAACGGG